GCCGCCUUAGCUCAGUUGGUAGAGCAGCGCUUUUGUAAAGCGCAGGUCAGGGGUUCGAGUCCCCUCGGCGGCUC
rnacentral:tRNA from 1 species